UUCGGGAUUAGUGGCGGACGGGUGAGUAACACGUGGGAACGUGCCCUUUGGUUCGGAACAACUCAGGGAAACUUGAGCUAAUACCGGAUGUGCCCUUCGGGGGAAAGAUUUAUCGCCAUUGGAGCGGCCCGCGUCUGAUUAGCUAGUUGGUGAGGUAAAGGCUCACCAAGGCGACGAUCAGUAGCUGGUCUGAGAGGAUGAUCAGCCACAUUGGGACUGAGACACGGCCCAAACUCCUACGGGAGGCAGCAGUGGGGAAUCUUGCGCAAUGGGCGAAAGCCUGACGCAGCCAUGCCGCGUGAAUGAUGAAGGUCUUAGGAUUGUAAAAUUCUUUCACCGGGGACGAUAAUGACGGUACCCGGAGAAGAAGCCCCGGCUAACUUCGUGCCAGCAGCCGCGGUAAUACGAAGGGGGCUAGCGUUGCUCGGAAUUACUGGGCGUAAAGGGAGCGUAGGCGGACUGUUUAGUCAGAGGUGAAAGCCCAGGGCUCAACCUUGGAAUUGCCUUUGAUACUGGCAGUCUUGAGUACGGAAGAGGUAUGUGGAACUCCGAGUGUAGAGGUGAAAUUCGUAGAUAUUCGGAAGAACACCAGUGGCGAAGGCGACAUACUGGUCCGUUACUGACGCUGAGGCUCGAAAGCGUGGGGAGCAAACAGGAUUAGAUACCCUGGUAGUCCACGCCGUAAACGAUGAGUGCUAGUUGUCGGCAUGCAUGCAUGUCGGUGACGCAGCUAACGCAU
rnacentral:rRNA from 1 species